UGAGGAACUCGGCUAGCCGAUUUUAGAUUGGUUGUUUAUUGCACGCAAUGCGAGAUCUGUAGGAACGUUGGUAAACAGUGAAAUUACAUCUUAAGAUAUUAACGUGUAAUUGUCCGGGAUAAUCAAUGUUUUAAUUUUAUCAACUAAUAAAAAGCUAUCCUUAACUCUCGAGAUGGGAGGUGUGAUAUUGGUGGGACAUCCUCUUUGUGAAUUUUUGGAAGCCCAUAUGCGCGUGGAGGGACACUAUUGUACGUAGAACCUGGCACUCAUAUACAACAUACUAAGAUGGAAUGAUUACCCUCAUGGCCUAUUACAACAACAAAUUAAUAAGAGACGUACCUACAUCAACAACAUACUUGACCAUAAUAUUGACUCUGCUCCCGCUGAAGAUAGCAAUAGACCUGCUACUACAUAUAUCCCCAUUCCAUAUGUAGCCGGCCUCUUUGAGUCACUUAAUCGUUUAUUCGCCAAAUAUAAUGUAAAGUUUGUU
rnacentral:lncRNA from 1 species